rnacentral:rRNA from 1 species
CCAUGUGUUUAAAUCCGGAAAUUAGCUGGGAAGUAAAAGCGUGGGGUAGGCUGGUUAAGAAAAGAAAAGAUGAGCCAAUACCCAGCGACUCUAACCUUUGGAAAUUGCAUUAUUUAACUGCCUGAGGUAGAGUAUGUGAGAGGGGAGGUACAAUUCCCACGUGUAGCAGUGAAAAUGCGUAGAUAUGUGGAGGAAUACCGAUGGCGAAGGCACCCCCCCUGGGAUAAUACUGACGCUCAGACACGAUAGCGUGGGGAGCAAACAGGAUUAGAUACCCUGGUAGUCCACGCCCUAAACGAUGUCAACUAGCUGUUGGGGCCGUUAGGCCUUAGUAGCGCAGCUCACGCAUGAAGUUGACCGCGUGGGGAGUUCGGUCGCAAGAUUAAAAAUCAAAGGAAUUGGCGGGGGCCCGCACAAGCGAUGGAUGAUGUGGAUUAAUUGGAUGCAGAACGACAAUCCCUACUUUCCCCUUACAUGUCUGGAAAGCCGAAGAGAUUUGUCCGUUCUCGCAAGAGAACCCAAACACAGCAGGUGCAUGGUCAUCUUCAGUUCGGGUAGUGAGAUGUUGGUUUAAGUCCCGCAACGAGCGCAACCCUUGUCAUUAAUCGCUUCGCAAGAGCACUCUAAUGAGACUGCCGGUGACAAACCGGAGGAAGGUGGGGAUGACGUCAAGUCAUCAUGGCCCUUAUGGGUAGGGCUUCACACGUCAUACAAUGGUCGGGACAGAGGGUAGCCAACCCGCGAGGGGGAGCCAAUCUCAGAAACCCGAUCGUAGUCCGGAUCGCAGUCUGCAACUCGACUGCGUGAAGUCGGAAUCGCUAGUAAUCGCGGAUCAGAAUGUCGCGGUGAAUACGUUCCCGGGUCUUGUACACACCGCCCGUCACACCAUGGGAGUGGGUUUCACCAGAAGUAGGUAGCCUAACCGCAAGGAGGGCGCUACC